AGUACUGUUAAUUAUCCAGCGGCUUGACCCCCAAUCGCAGAGAGAUGCCAGGAAAUCUUCGCGUUGGAAAAGGGAAUUUUUAUGAGACUGCAAAGAAGCAUAAAAUGAAUAGACAAUCCAACCAACCAAAGACCGGGGGCAGCAGCAGGCCAGCAAGACGGCAUCUUCUCCUUCCCAGCCUAGAAGCCCUGUGAAAUCGAGGAUCUUCCCCCUAAAACACAUACACACAAGAUAUGUGCAAUCAAGCUGCCACCGCUUGGUAAAAAGCCAUGGUGCCUAACCAAAAAGGAUCAGGAACAGAUCCUUGAAUCAGCUGUCACUUCUAUAGAAUGGGAUUUUUUUUUCCUUCCUCCUUAACCUGCGCUGGAAAUUGCCGUUGGCUUUAUACAUCUCUAUAGAGAGAGGCUAAAGAGUCUUGCGUGAGAAAGAAGCAAUUUACAAUGCAAAUAGAGGCCUGUGAAGGGACGGAUGCUGCUGCUCACUCGUAACAGCUUGCUGCACCUUAAUAGCUGGUUUUAUUUUCUGAUAUUAAUAGAUGAAUUGUUGGCUAACGCUGCCGGAGAUUACUUGCUGAAAGGAAAAAGAAAAGUUCGGAAUAAACUCUGAAGGCAACAGAUCUCGUUUGGAUGUUUUAGCCGCGCACACACACAAACAGAAACCAGGUCAUAUUUACAUAAAAGGAGGAAUCUUAAGCGCGGCAAGUAUCCUGGACGACCACUCUUCGGUACUGCCAGAAAGGAUCAGGACCUGGAGUCUGGCAAGAGGAAGACAGAGGCCUGUGUGGGAAGCGAGUUGUUAUCUUUGGUUAUCUAGCUGUAUGAGUGUAUUGGUCUUCAUAAAGCUAGAUAACCGAAAGUAAAAACUCCUUCAAGAUCGCCGGGGAGCGUGUGAGAAUGAAAGACUACAGCCGAGAGACAGUAAAAACCAGAAAGGUCAGGAAUACUUAUUGAAUCUAACUUUGUUUUUGUUUUGUUUUUUUCCUUAUGAUUAAAGGUGGGAUGAGAGAAAAUUAAAUGACACACACAUGCUAAAAUAUCAAGGUUCCAGAUAUGUCUUGAGAGGGGUUGUUGCAGCUGCAAAGGAGAAGUGUAUAGUGAUAAUGAGUAAAGAUGCAUGUGCAGUUUGUUCUAUUUUAAGGCAAAAGUUAUAUCAGGGAUUUUUUUCUUAGAAAGGUGUUGCAGAGAUGUCUGGUACCUAGUUUAAAAAUGAUUCCAUAAUAUGUAGACUUGGGCAGUUCCUUUGGGAGGCACCUCCCUCUCAAAAUUUGAAGAUUGUGCUUGGAAAUUACUUUACAUGUAUUUGGGCUGUAUGUCAAUUUGUACGAAAUUAGACUUUCAGAAAAGUUUAUACUGGAAGGUUAAUAAUUUGUAUCUACUGAGGACUUAGAGCUAGCAGGCAAAAUGAAAAAAAAAAAAAAAAAA
rnacentral:lncRNA from 1 species